GCUCCGGUAGCUCAAUGGAUAGAGCAGGCCCGUCCUAAGGGCAAGGUUGCAGGUUCAAAUCCUGCCCGGAGUA
rnacentral:tRNA from 1 species